UACGGGGGGAGCAAGCGUUGUUCGGAUUUACUGGGCGUAAAGGGCGCGUAGGCGGCCACGACAAGUCAGUUGUGAAAUCUCUGGGCUUAACUCAGAACGGUCAACCGAUACUGCGGGGCUAGAGUGCAGAAGGGGCAACUGGAAUUCUCGGUGUAGCGGUGAAAUGCGUAGAUAUCGAGAGGAACACCUGCGGCGAAGGCGGGUUGCUGGGCUGACACUGACGCUGAAGCGCGAAAGCUAGGGGAGCGAACGGG
rnacentral:rRNA from 1 species